rnacentral:rRNA from 1 species
UACGUAGGGGGCAAGCGUUGUCCGGAUUUAUUGGGCGUAAAGCGCGCGCAGGCGGCCCGCGAGGUGUCACGUGAAAGCCCCGGGCUCAACCCGGGAGGGUCGUGGCAAACCGGCGGGCUUGAGGCCGGUAGAGGUGGGUGGAACUCCUGGUGGAGUGGUGAAAUGCGUAGAGAUCAGGAAGAACACCCGUGGCGAAGGCGGCCCACUGGGCCGGUACUGACGCUGAGGCGCGAAGGCGUGGGGAGCGAACGGG